AGUAAAAGUCGUAACAAGGGUUUCCGUAGGUGAACCUGCGGAAGGAUCAUUAUUGAAUACGAUUGGAACUGAUGCUGGCUUCUUACGGAGCAUGUGCUCGUCCAUCUAUUUAACCUUCUCUUGUGCACAUUUUGUAGUCUUGAAUCAAAGUGAACCCUUCGCAGCAAUGCGGUUUGGGGGAAUGGGCGCAAGCCCUUCUCCUGCUUGCUUUCUUUUCAAGGCUAUGUUUUCAUAUACACUAUAAAGUUUCAGAAUGUCUUUUAACGAUUGCGCUUGUCGUAGUCAUUAAACCUAUACAACUUUCAGCAACGGAUCUCUUGGCUCUCCCAUCGAUGAAGAACGCAGCGAAAUGCGAUAAGUAAUGUGAAUUGCAGAAUUCAGUGAAUCAUCGAAUCUUUGAACGCACCUUGCGCCCUUUGGUAUUCCGAAGGGCAUGCCUGUUUGAGUGUCAUUAAAUUCUCAACCUCGUUCGCUUUUACUAGCUUGAGCGAGGCUUGGACGUGAGGGCUUGCUGGCUUCCUUCAGUGGAUGGUCUGCUCCCUUUAAAAGCAUUAGUGGGAUCUCUUGUGGACCGUCACUUGGUGUGAUAAUUAUCUAUGCCAGUUGACUUUGAAGCAAACUUAUGGGAACCUGCUUAUAACCGUCUCGCAAGGGACAACAAUCUUAAUUGACAUUUUGACCUCAAAUCAGGUGGGACUACCCGCUGAACUUAAGCAUAUCAAUAAGCGGAGGAAAAGAAACUAACAAGGAUUCCCCUAGUAACUGCGAGUGAAGCGGGAAAAGCUCAAAUUUAAAAUCUGGCGGUCCU
rnacentral:rRNA from 1 species